rnacentral:snoRNA from 14 species
AGCGCAACAUCCCUUGGGCCGGCGGCCUGCUGUUGGUGCCGCGCGUGGCGCCCCUGUCCGAUUGUGCGAGAGUU